rnacentral:rRNA from 1 species
UACGUAGGGUGCGAGCGUUAAUCGGAAUUACUGGUCGUAAAGCGUGCGCAGGCGGUUUUGUAAGCCAGAUGUGAAAUCCCCGGGCUCAACCUGGGAAUGGCAUUUGGGACUGCAAGGCUCGAGUUUGGCAGAGGAGACUGGAAUUCCUGGUGUAGCAGUGAAAUGCGUAGAUAUCAGGAGGAAUACCGAUGGCGAAGGCAGGUCUCUGGGCUGAAACUGACGCUCAUGCACGAAAGCGUGGGGAGCAAACAGG